UGUGGUUUAAUUCGAUGCAACGCGAAGAACCUUACCUGGUCUUGACAUCCCGGAGACCCUUAGGAAACUAGGGGGUGCUUCCAUCUGGAAGAAUCUGGAGACAGGUGCUGCAUGGCUGUCGUCAGCUCGUGUCGUGAGAUGUUGGGUUAAGUCCCGCAACGAGCGCAACCCUUGCCUUUAGUUGCCAGCAGUUCGGCUGGGCACUCUAAAGGGACUGCCGGUGUUAAACCGGAGGAAGGUGGGGAUGACGUCAAGUCCUCAUGGCCUUUAUGACCAGGGCUACACACGUACUACAAUGGCCGAUACAAAGGGCAGCGACACUGCGAGGUGAAGCCAAUCCCGUAAAAUCGGUCUCAGUCCGGAUUGGAGUCUGCAACUCGACUCCAUGAAGUUGGAAUCGCUAGUAAUCGUGGAUCAGCAUGCCACGGUGAAUACGUUCCCGGGCCUU
rnacentral:rRNA from 1 species